GCUGCGAAUGCAGGUGGAACUACAGCCUGUCACGCUCGUGGUCGCGGGUUCGAUUCCCGCCGGCGCCCUUCGGGUGCCGUAGCUCAGUGGAUAGAGCACGAUUGUUUCACCAUCCCUUGUCGCAGCGGG
rnacentral:Y_RNA from 1 species